UAAUUGUAUUUUUUUAAAUGAACGCAGAAAACUUGUACCCCGGUCUUUGCUGGUAUGAUGGCUACACGGAAGCUGUAAUUUUGGACAGUAUUCUUCCAUUAGAAACGACACCUUUCAUCUCUUCUGGACCUGUACUCCUCCAGGACUCUGAGGCGAGGAGGAAAGAUUGCAGCAGACCUUCCACCCCGGACACAAACUGUUUCAGACUCUCCCCUCUGGCAGGAGGCUGCGGUCCAUCAGGACCAAAACCUCUCACCAC